GAUGAAGAACGCAGCGAAAUGCGAUAAGUAAUGUGAAUUGCAGAACUCAGUGAAUCAUCGAAUCUUUGAACGCACAUUGCGCCCCCUGGUAUUCCGGGGGGCAUGCCUGUCCGAGCGUCAUUGCUGCCCUCAAGCCCGGCUUGUGUGUUGGGUCUCGUCCCCCUUCCCGGGGGGACGGGCCCGAAAGGCAGCGGCGGCACCGCGUCCGGUCCUCGAGCGUAUGGGGCUUUGUCACCCGCUCUGUAGGCCCGGCCGGCGCUUGCCGAUCAACCAAAACUUUUUUCCAGGUUGACCUCGGAUCAGGUAGGGAUACCCGCUGAACUUAAGCAUAUCAAUAAGCGGAGGA
rnacentral:misc_RNA from 1 species